rnacentral:rRNA from 1 species
GAUGAACGCUGGCGGCGUGCUUAACACAUGCAAGUCGAACGAGAAAUGUAGACGGAAACCUUCGGGCGGAAGCCUUCAUUUCGAGUGGCGGACGGGUGAGUAACGCGUGGGUAACCUGCCUCAUACAGGGGGAUAUCAGUUGGAAACGACUGUUAAUACCGCAUAAGACCACAGCAUCGCAUGAUGCGGGGGUAAAAACUCCGGUGGUAUGAGAUGGACCCGCGUUCGAUUAGCCAGUUGGCGGGGUAACGGCCCACCAAAGCGACGAUCGAUAGCCGAUCUGAGAGGAUGACCGGCCACAUUGGGACUGAGACACGGCCCAAACUCCUACGGGAGGCAGCAGUGGGGAAUAUUGCACAAUGGGGGAAACCCUGAUGCAGCGACGCCGCGUGAGUGAAGAAGUACUUCGGUAUGUAAAGCUCUAUCAGCAGGGAAGAAAAUGACGGUACCUGAGGAAGAAGCCCCGGCUAACUACGUG